rnacentral:lncRNA from 1 species
CCAAGUUUUUCUAAGUAACAUAUAUGAAUUUCAUGUGAAAAUUAAAAAAACAUCGCAAGCUUCAGCAUUGAUGAGUUUCAGUCUCCAGCAAAGCCUAGGGAUAUCGGUGAAAUGAAGACAAAUAUUCUGCAUAGCAUGUAUGGAUGUUAGUCCAGCCUUCAGUGGAGUCCUUGAAACCUCCUGAGUCUAGCCUUACAGACCACAUUCCUAGUACCUAUUCUGGCCUUCUGAGCUCUGACUAGGGUUGCACAUCAAGCACUGCUCACAACAUUGUAGGUCACCCUCAGCUGGCAUCUCUAAAACUUUACAACCUCCUGGAAAUAAGUUCCAAAGACUUCUAAAUCACAGGGCCAGACUCCCAACAUUCAACCACUUAGCAGAGAAGCAAGAGCCUGCAACAUCUCUGCUAUCAAUGCUGAGUCUUUAGAAAACUUCAGCUUCACUCCAACUACGGGUAACUGGGAAAAGGGGAAUGAGGACAGAUGUCCUUCCCACAAAAUCGCAUCUUAUCUUCCAUCCCCCAGCCUGCUGGUUAUUUGGAGGUAGAAGGGAGAGGAAACACAAACACGUUCUGCAAAGAAAGGCUGAGAGGACACAGCAUCAGCCCCUAAAUUUGCAUAACCAGUACCCUGGAUAGGACCAUAAAAGGAGGAUGUGGAUGCCAUUGAAUCUCACACCAAACACCAAUUAUUUCUAGCAGAAAGAGCAAGCUCUCCACUCUCGUAAUCUCUGUAAAAAAAAUUUACCAGAACACAUUCUUCAGAUCCUAGGUGUAUGUGCUAGGCUAAAGAGGAUAUCAUAUUGAGGAAGAAUCUCCUGCUUCUCAUUUCUUCCUGAGACCAUCUCUCUGUGUACACAGCUUUCCAGAAUUGCCUCUGCCCCCUGCUACCUUUCAAGUGUGGUUAUCCCAAAGUCGCUAGCUCCCUGCCCAGGUACACACUCGCGCUCUGGAGUCAGACCGCUUCCAUUCUGACACAUCUCCAUAGCUUUCUCUGCGGCCUAUUUGCUGUCUGUCCCAAGCAAGUGACUUAACCUA